rnacentral:rRNA from 1 species
GACGAACGCUGGCGGCGUGCUUAACACAUGCAAGUCGAACGGAAAGGCCCUGCUUGCAGGGUACUCGAGUGGCGAACGGGUGAGUAACACGUGGGUGAUCUGCCCUGCACUUCGGGAUAAGCCUGGGAAACUGGGUCUAAUACCGGAUAUGACCUUCCAUGUAGUGUGGGGGGUGGAAAGAUUUAUCGGUGUGAGAUGAGCCCGCGGCCUAUCAGCUUGUUGGUGGGGUAAUGGCCUACCAAGGCGUCGACGGGUAGCCGGCCUGAGAGGGUGGACGGCCACAUUGGGACUGAGAUACGGCCCAGACUCCUACGGGAGGCAGCAGUGGGGAAUAUUGCACAAUGGGCGGAAGCCUGAUGCAGCGACGCCGCGUGGGGGAUGACGGCCUUCGGGUUGUAAACCUCUUUCGACAGGGACGAAGCUUCGGUGACGGUACCUGGAUAAGAAGCACCGGCUAACUACGUG